GAAUUUAAAAAGUGGAUUUGGGUAAUUGAUAUUAGAUGUAUGUUUUUUUGAUUAAAUAUCAUAUAUCUAUUAAUGUGUUUUUUGUAUUUUGUCACUUGAAGUUUCUUAAAUAAAAGAUUGAAAUUGUGAAUGUGAAGCACUGGGUGUGGCGGAGUAGAAGAACCUGGCAGUCGUUCCUAUGGCCAGACAAAACAAAAGCCGCCGUGGACUUGGUGAUAUUGGCAACCUGUUCAUUCUCUGACCGCUAGACAGACAAUAAGAAACACAACUUAGAUGGUCAAAUGGGUAGAAAGUCGCCCAUAUUUGAUGUUUACAAAUUGUUACAGAUAACAAUAAUGCAGCUACCCUUUUUUUUUGGAAAAGAAUGGAAAAUCAAUCAAAGGUGACUCAAAUGCAGAACCGUAGAAGGGGCGAUGCAUUUGACAUGGUGUUGGCUUUUUUGACAAUAGUCCUUAAUCAAGGUCUUGGAAAAGAUUCUUUAGAAAAGAUAAAUGAGUGAAGAGGUGGGUAGUUGCUGUUGUUGGCAUAGGGCUGAUGAAAGGUUAAAAGUGGACAACCCAUAUACUAAAUGGUCUCUACACUUGGUUGGAACUUAUCGGAUGAAAUUCUGCGUGCUGCAUGUCUUUCAGGCUAUUUACAGACUGGAACUGUAUCAGCUAACUCAUUAUAUAUGAAUUUCUAUAAGUUGCCAGCUGCAAUUUAUUAAAUAUAUGUCAUCCCCUUAAAAUGUCAUAUAGAGAUGGACAACGUUACCUGGAGAACUAGCUCCUCUUGAUGAUGCAGACGUUGAUGGCUGGCUUCCACGUUUUGUUGUUCACCAAGGACCAUGCAUAUUUUUGUAAUUUAAGUCAACUGAUAUAAGUCUGCAAGACUCCACCCUAUUGUCUGAUGUUGUUGAAGUAGGGUGUAUGCCAUGUGUUAUUCUAAAAGUGGGGGAAACUCGAUAUUAUUUUUACAUAGUAACUCAUCAUGGAUUGAGAUUUGAAUGCUCAAGUGCUUCAAAAUUGCAGGUGCUAUCUCAUAACUCUGAAACUUCUUGUUUGUCA